rnacentral:rRNA from 1 species
ACGGCUCAGUAACACGUGGACAACCUGCCCUUAGGUCGGGGAUAAACCCGGGAAACUGGGUAUAAUUCCCGAUAGGUCUCGAUUGCUGGAAUGCAUCGAGAUUUAAAGCUCCGGCGCCUAAGGAUGGGUCUGCGGCCUAUCAGGUAGUAGUGGGUGUAGCGUACCUACUAGCCUACGACGGGUACGGGUUGUGAGAGCAAGAGCCCGGAGAUGGAUUCUGAGACACGAAUCCAGGCCCUACGGGGUGCAGCAGGCGCGAAAACUUUACAAUGCUGGCAACAGCGAUAAGGGAACCUCGAGUGCCAGGUUACAAAUCUGGCUGUCGAGAUGCCUAAAAAGCAUUUCAUAGCAAGGGCCGGGCAAGACCGGUGCCAGCAGCCGCGGUAA